rnacentral:misc_RNA from 1 species
GGAAGGAUCAUUAGAGGAAAAAAAAAAACACACUUGUGGGGGGGGAAGGGUCACACCAACCCCCCCUAUCACAAACUUUUGUACCCACGACUUGGCGUGGUCACUAACUCUCUCCCCUUUGGGGAGGGGGGUUAGUGGGUAGACGUGCGGAAUUGGCUUUAACCGGGCUUUAUUUCUACACUAAAACCUACCAAAAACUGGUCCCUUCCUCGGUUAAGGGGGGGGUCUUUAUAGGUCGUUUACAACCUUUUUUAACAUACUUUUGAAACAUAAAAAAGCUUACUAAGUACAACUUUUAACGGUGGAUGUCUCGGCUUUCGUAUCGAUGAAGAACGUAGCAAAGUGCGAUAAGUGAUGGAAAUUGCAGAAUACUUCGACUCAUCGAAUUUUUGAAUGCAACCUGCACCUGGGGCUUGUCUCCAGGUCUAUUUAAUUGAGCUCGGUUUUUUUACACACAUUUCCGAAAAUGGGGCUCAUGCUUCCCUCUCUCGAAAGAGAUUGAGGGGGGUGAGGGCAAAAACCUCCUCAUCAGGGGUAGUCCUGUAAUGGUAAGAGAUUUGAGGAAACCAGGUGGAUAGGAGAACGUCUAUAGGGCCUCCCUUGACGCCAGGCACUUCCUUUAAUUGUUUACAAAAGUGGAGGAAACUCGUCUUCGGACACCUUUUUCCCUUCCCAAGCAUAUCUCAGCUUUACUGAUUAACUCAAUCUUUAAUAAUGGGGUAGACGACGGAAGAUGUAGAGGACAUUUAGAGGGCUUCACUAUAAUCCAAGUUAAGGAAGGAGGAACUGGCCCUCAAAAAGCUAGUGAAUUUAACCUUAAUCACCGACUCAAAUUAGGUAGGAUCACCCGCUGAAUUUAAGCAUAUUAUUAGGCGGAGGAAAAGAAAUUAACAAAGAUUCCCUCAGUAAUGGCGAAUGAACAGGGAAAAGCUCACGCUGAAUCCGUGGAGGUUAGCUCCUUCACCGAAAUGUAGCGUUUCAACUGGUCUAUUCGGAUGGUCUGGCGGCUAAAGUUCCCUGGAAAGGGACACCACAGAGGGUGACAGUCCCGUGAGCUGCUAAAGGCUGUUCGUAUCAAUGGCCGGCUUGUAGAGUCGGGGUUGUUUUGGAGUACAACCCUAAUCGGGUGAUAAACUUCAUCCAAAGCUAAAUAUUAACGAAAGACCGAUAGCGAACAAGUACCGUGAGGGAAAGGUGAAAAGAACUUUGAAAAGAGAGUUAAAAGUACCUGAAACCGUUAAAAGGUAAGCGAUCGGCACCGUCGUUUACAGGAGCCUUCAAUUCAUCGCAGUGCUUGUAGGGUCGUGGCUAAUGGAGCCUGUAAAAGGGCCUAUAUGCUGCUUUCCGAAGAGUCAUGAGGUGCACUUUGGGGGUUCUUUGAGUCAGGGUCAUCUCUGUUGGGGAUAAUAAGGGCUGUAAGGAGGUACCCGGCUGCGCGCUGGGGAUUCAACUUGCGGAUUCCCGUCUUCGAUGGGGGUGAGGGUCUCGAAAGGGAUAACAUUGUUGGGGGUAUUCUUGGCUAGGGUAUCCGGGGGGUAAAACUCUCGUAAUCCGAUGCUUGAACCCGACAUUGACUUUGACCUAGAUGGAAUCGAUCGUCCCGUCUUGAAACACGGACCAAGGAGUGUAAAUUGUGCGCGAGCUUUAGGGUGUGAAAACUCAAAAGCGCAAUGAAAGUGAUUAUCGCCUGAAGCCUCUGUAACAGGAGGACCUGCAAGGUGAACCGGCAUAGUCUUAUUAGGCUUUGUCCGAGUAAGAGUGUACAGUUUACGACCCGAAAGGUGGCGAACUAUGCUUGUGUAGAGUGAAGCCAGAAGAAAUUCUGGUGGAGGCUCGUAGCGGUAUUGACGUGCAAAUCAUUCGUCAAACAUGGGUAUAGCGGCGAAAGACUAAUCGAGCCGCCUAGUAGCUGGUUCCUCU